rnacentral:misc_RNA from 1 species
AAUAGGCCCUUCUCCAACUACAGACUCCACCAGUGGCACUAUAGGCCCUCCCAGUGGGCCUCCUCAAGCCCAAGACCCACAUGUGGAAAUGCCAGAAGAUGAUCCAAUCUUGGAUUUUAAUCUCCUAGGAGCCCCACACCAAUCCAGGCCCAACUCAAGCCCAUGAUUCACAUUACACGAUAUUCCCCCUUCAAAAUGGAGAGAUCGUCUUGCAGAAUUUAAAGUCUGGCUCGAUGUUCAGAUGCUUCGAGAAGACACUGAUUCUCAUACUGUUCUCAGAG